AAAAUCAUUGAUCUCAUAGGUCUCUGGGACUGUGAUGUACUACUCUUCUGCAUAGCAAUUGCCUUUGUACCACUAUCUAGGAAAAUAUUCCUGGAGGCAUCUAGGUAGCACUGCCCUGCUUUUCCCAAAGUUCUGUGGUCAGGAUGGGUAAGUAAUGCUCACAUGUGAAAUGACCCCUUUCCAAAUCUUUCCUUACGCACAUCACUGAAUUCUGGUACCCAGGCCUUCAGAUCCAUGUCCUUCUGCCUAGAGAAGUCUUUCCUGGGUCACUGGGCACAGCUGUGUCCCUGUGCUGCUCUGUACCAGGAGGUCCUACUUUGGUCCUUUCAUCCUUCCAAAGAUACGUACUGUCUCAGAAGCAAUUGAGAAAAUGGAUCGAGCGAAGUCAAAUCUGAUUUUCUUGAGGAAGAAAAUCGAAUUCACCACUUGGUGAGACAGACAGAGAUGAGAAGGAAAAGGCUCAGAAACACACAGCUCACCUAGGAAAGGAGAGCCAGAGACUUAAAGGGUGAACUAGAGGGAGCUGAGCAGCCAGAAAUGCCAGCCCACAGCACAGCUAAGAAGUCUUAGCUUUAGGCCUCUGGCUUUUCUGGAUGUCAAGCCUUCCGAAUUUAGAACAAGCCCAGGGACUACCACACAUGAUCAUACUGGUUUCAGUUUUAAGUAUUUCUAAAGUCCUCUCAGGUUGAGGGCACCAUAAAGUCAUUUUGGUACAGCAACACCUUCCCAGAAGUGAUAUAAGGGGAGGAAAGAGCUAAGAUUCUGAGAACCUGGUCCAGCAUCUGUGUGCCUCCAGUCUGCCGGGAGUGAGCAUCCAGUCUAGCCUCUGAAGACCCUGCCCCAGCAGCUGCCUCUUCUGGGGAAAUAUCCAAAUGCAUGCGUGUUUUUGCUAUUCCACACUGUCAUUUUGCAAGCAAGUAUGGAGUAGUUUCUAAGUAUCAAGACUAUAAGAAUUUAUGGCUAAAUCUCUGCCUUUAAGGAACCCUUCAUUGUCUGGGAAAAGUGGUUUUAUCUAAAUUAGCCAUGGUGAAUUGUGCUCAGGUCUGUGACAGAAGUGUGUAUCAAAGGACAGGGCAACUCAAGGAAGGACAAAGCCAACUACCCAUGAGAGGGAGUGACAGGUCAAACCUUUGAGGAUAGGGUGCAUUGAGCCAGAUCCUAAAGGAGUUUUACACCAGGAAAGUAGGCAUGAAGGGUUACAGAGAACAACAGAGUAAGCUGAGAUAUAGAGACUUUGUAAUGCACAUGUCCAGAAAUGGUGCACAUCCCAACUUAGCCUUGUCAGGAGACCAGAGGCUGGUGAUGGGGAGAAAGGUGGGCUGGGACUGCUCAAAAUGAGACUUUGAGAAAUUUGGAUGGUUUCGUGAAGCCAACAGAAGAGCCCCCCAGACAAACCCCAGAAGAAACACGGGAAUAAUUCUGAGAGAAAAUUCUACAAUCCAUGUGUUGUGUCAGAGACCUACCAUAGGUCGACUAGGGAUUUGAAUUUAAUGUCACUAAAUGUCAACAUUUUAAGGAACUUUUGAGAGUAGCUGCCACACUGGAUUCCAUGAAACAGUUAUCAGGGACCCACUCUAGGGUAUCAGGGCUAGGGUUGUGGAAGCAUUGGGACUAAAAACAAAGGGAGGCCCCUUAGCUAGUCUCUUAGGCCCUCCUUCAUGGCUUUCUUAUUUUUGUCUAUUUGCUUUGAUUCAUUCAGUAGUGGAGUUAGGAUUUCAGUUGACAACUGUUGCCACAGAGAAGGCUAAAGUGACAGCUAAGGACAGAGACCAAUGGCCUGAGUUUUCAAGGAGAAAACGGAGGAGGGUAAAGCAAACUAAUUACAAGCCCCACAAUGAACUGACCAGCCGGUCCUAACUCCUGCCCCAAGCUUGCUGCAGGUAAGUGCUGGCCAUGCCUUAGCACAGGCUAGACCAAGUAUAGGGAACCACCAACCUUUUUCUCUCUUUCACUCUUGUUGAUCCUUCAACUAGGGUAAGCAGCACCAUUCACUACAAACAGGGAGUUCCCCAUUAGAAUGACCCAAGCAAAGACACUGAAUAUGAACAUCCACACUGAGAAAGACACAGGAGGCCAGAGGAAGGUGUAGGAUGUAGUGGGAGGGGAGUCAACGUGAGUGUGAGCGCACUGCAUUUUCCAAAUUGUGAUGGCUUUCUUUGUGCCCUGCCUCAUUCAGGAAGUCAUCAGUGCACCAGAUACGGAAAAGAGCCCUUUUGUUUGGCUUUGAUCGCACCCGAUAGCUCAGUCUGGCGCAGAGAUCAUGUCUUUGAUCUCUCACAUUGAUGUUAGGUCUCUGGAGCUCACAGGAUUUCCUUGAGUUUAAUUCUUCAUGGCAUCCCUGGCACCACCCUGUCCUCUCCCAUCUAUCACAUGCUGUCCUGGGUCCUCUGGCCUGUUGCCUCAGUGGUUAAGAUGGACCAAGGAAGCAAUACCUCCCCCACCCCCACCCCCUCUCCUGGCAUGGUCUCACGAAUCAUGGUGGUUAAGCCUCGGAAGUGUGGGAAGCCCAUUAACCCAGCAUAAGAAGACAGGGCUUUGUUCCUGGUGCAAGACAUUUCUAGACUAAAUCUCUCACCUCUCUAAGCUUCAAUCUCUUCCUGAGAAAAGCGGGAAUGCACCUGCCUACCUUGGCAUCUGGCACAUAUGCCUGACACCAAGGGAAGGCGCUGUAAAUAUUAUUAAAUGAAAGGCCUAUUGACUGCUUGCUCUAUGACAAAGAGGAAUGCAGGAGGUUUGAUCCUGUUGUUACUUGAAGUGUUGUAAGGACUCUUGGCACAUCAGCAGGGCUCAGACCCGCUUUUCAAUCUCAAUAGAAAAAUUGGAACAC
rnacentral:lncRNA from 1 species